AUUGAACGCUGGCGGCAUGCCUAACACAUGCAAGUCGAGCGAGCGGCGGACGGGUGAGUAAUGUCUGGGAAACUGCCUGAUGGAGGGGGAUAACUACUGGAAACGGUAGCUAAUACCGCAUACCAUCAGAUGUGCCCAGAGGGGAGUAGCUAGUGGGUGGGGUAACGGCUCACCUAGGCGACGAUCCCUAGCUGGUCUGAGAGGAUGACCAGCAACACUGGAACUGAGACACGGUCCAGACUCCUACGGGAGGCAGAAGUGGGGAAGAUUGCACAAGGGGCGCAAGCCUGAUGCAGCCAUGCCGCGUGUGUGAAGAAGGCCUUCGGGUUGUAAAGCACUGUCAGCGGGGAGGCGUUACCCGCAGAAGAAGCACCGGCUAACUCCGUGCCAGCAGCCGCGGUAAUAC
rnacentral:rRNA from 1 species